GAAACGACUCUCGGYAWCGGAUAUCUCGGCUCUCGCAUCGAUGAAGAACGYAGCGAAAUGCGAUACUUGGUGUGAAUUGCAGAAUCCCGUGAACCAUCGAGUYUUUGAACGCAAGUUGCGCCCGAAGCCGUUAGGCCGAGGGCACGUCUGCCUGGGCGUCACGC
rnacentral:rRNA from 1 species